UGUGCGUAUUGUUAAUUAAGUUUUAACCUUUAAGCUGUAAUAGGGAGUUUUAUAUCGAAGCCGGAAUGUCAUGCCUCCAUUGCAGAGGACGACAGGAACGUUUCUGCAAACACCCACUUUGAGGAGGGGUGGUGUAAAACUUUCUUACUUGCAUACGGCA
rnacentral:other from 1 species